AACGAACGCUGGCGGCAUGCUUAACACAUGCAAGUCGAACGAGACCUUCGGGUCUAGUGGCGCACGGGUGCGUAACGCGUGGGAAUCUGCCCUUUGCUACGGAAUAACUCAGAGAAAUUUGUGCUAAUACCGUAUAAUGUCGUAAGACCAAAGAUUUAUCGGCAAAGGAUGAGCCCGCGUAAGAUUAGCUUGUUGGUGGGGUAAAGGCCUACCAAGGCGACGAUCUUUAGCUGGUCUGAGAGGAUGUUCAGCCACACUGGGACUGAGACACGGCCCGACUCCUACGGGAGGCAGCAGUUGGGAAUAUUGGACAAGGGGCUAAAGCCUGAUCCAGCAAUGCCGCGUGAGUGAUGAAGGCCUUAGGGUUGUAAAGCUCUUUUACCAGAGAUGAUAAUGACAGUACCUGGAGAAUAAGCUCCGGCUAACUCCGUGCCAGCAGCCGCAGUAAAAC
rnacentral:rRNA from 1 species